UCUUUUCAUAUGGCCGGCCAAAGCAAGAACAAAGGAAGAAAAGGGAAGAACAAAACCCUAGGUGGAAAAAUUCAAGAAAAAAGUGUGAAAAUUCAAGGAAACAAGUGAAAAAAGGUAAGAUUUUUUCAAUUAAGCUUGAGAUCUCUCUUUCUUAACAUUUUUUCUUAUUUUUCAUGGUUAAAUCACAUGAAAUCAUGAUGAAUCCCUUGCUGGCCGAACACUUAGAGGGAGGUUUUGAUGCUUGAUUUGGUUAGAUUUUAAUGUAUUUUAGUGUUUUUAGUUAGUUAGUGAUGUGUAGCAUGAAAAGCCAACAAGAAAAAUUCACUUCCUCCCAUCACCCAUCAUUGGUCGAAUUCUCCAUGUGGAAUAUUGAUGAUAAUUUUGAUUUUAUUUCAAGUGAUUUGGUUAGGAGUUAGUGAUUUAUGGUGGGAGAAUCAAGCUUGAAAAAUUAUAGUGUUGAUGCACCCACCAUGGCCGAAUUUUCUAAGAGAAAAUAUGAAAAUGAUUUUGCUAAAUUUUAUGCUAUUUGACUUGUGUUUGAUGGUUUGGAGAAUUGGAAGAAAAAUGGAGUUAUUUGGAGUUAAAUUGGACAUAUUGGCUAAUUAAUCGGGUGAUAGAUCGAAUUAGGCCAAUACCAUUUUAUUUAGGUACAUAAUUGAAUUUAUAUUGAACACCGUAUUUAGAUAGUUACCCGAGUAUUUCACAUCCCAUUUCAUGCAUUAGUAUAAAGCCUGAAUUGGUUUUACAACGAUUUAUCACAAAUGUAGUAAAUGGCUUAUUGUGCAUUAUGUCUAGGUGGUGAACUUUCUGGCAAAAGUAAAGAGAUAGUACUCGAGGAUCAAGAAUCGAAGUACUUGGAAUUCGAUUCCCAUUACAGUGAGUAACCUUGUUAUCGUCUUAAUUAUCUAAAGUAGUUUUUAUUAGUUUUUGUGAUUUGAUAAAAAAAUGAGUUUAAAUGGUAAAUCUUUAUGUUUUAUAAGUAAAAUGUGAAUAAAUGAAAUGAUUUUAUAAAUUGUCUUGAAAUUGAAAGAUGGUUUUGAAAAUGGAGUAAUUGGAGACUAAUUGUUGUGUUAUAAAUCAUGGUUUGAAUUGAAUGGCUUAUGAUAAUAUUUGCAUGAAUGGCUGAAUUGGUAUUUGUGUUGAAAAUGUAUGAACUGUUAAUUUGCCUUGAGAGGCUGUAAAAUAAAAUAAUUGCCAUGUCGUGUUAUCGCAAAUUUUAUUGUAUGGUGCGUUAUAAAUUGGUCGCUGCAGUGGACGGGUUCCGUGGACCAGCCUAUUAGAGGGGCACGGUAACCCUAUUAUAUUCAUACCUCAGUAUGAGAGGUGCAGUUGGAUAACUUUUGAGGUUAAAACUUUAGAGUUCACUUCACGCCAAACCACCACGUGAGGGUGAACUCAGCCAACGCCAAGGAACGAUUAUGUUUUCAAAAUAAAAAACAUGAUUUAUGCAUACAUGACUUUUUAACAGCCUUGGCGUACUCGGUUGGGAUAGCUCUCGGUUAAGGUAUCCUUGAUAACUGAGUAUGAGAAUGAUUUUGGCACGAGCCAAAGUUUUAAGAAAUUCAUAAGCCAUGUUGAUUACUCAAUUUAUAUGAAUUGAUUUUAUUUGGUUGAAAUGAGUUGAAAGGUGAUGAAUUACAAUAUGUUAAACUAUUUUAUUUGUCUCAAUUUACUCAGCUUUAGAUAUUUUAGAUGAUAUUUGUUUACUCACUGGGAUUAUAUAAUCUCACCACCCUCCUUUCCACCCAUUUUAGGCUCAGGAUAGUCGGUAAAUAGCUCAUUUCGUUGAGGGCUACAAUUGGACUUGCAUCCUCAAAAACUGUAGGUUUACCGCUUUUGAUACUUUUGGUCGUUCGUGGGCCCACGUGUCACUGUAAAUUAAAUCUUAUGCUUUGGUUAUCUGUAUUACAGUAUGUAUGAAUUUAUUUAGUUUUUACGCUAGAAAAAUUAUUUACUGAUAACUC
rnacentral:lncRNA from 1 species